AAACGGUACAGAUCUGACCUUCGCGAACAAGCUUAAGCAGCAUUUGGGUCCUAAUUCUUCUUUUAGAGGAGAACGAGGGAAAGGCUUCACUGUCUAUCAUUAUGCAGGAGAGGUCACUUACGACACAACUGGUUUUCUGGAGAAAAACAGGGACUUGCUACAUUUAGAUUCGAUUCAACUCCUAUCCUCAUGCUCAUGCCAUCUCCCUCAGAUUUUUGCAUCCAACAUGCUAACUCAAUCGGAAA
rnacentral:misc_RNA from 1 species